rnacentral:tRNA from 1 species
GGGGUUGUAGCUCAGUGGUAGAGCUACAUCUCCUUGGCACGCAGAAGGUCCCAGAUUCAAUCCACAACAUCUCCA